rnacentral:SRP_RNA from 1 species
GCCAGGUGCAGUGGCUCGUGUCUGUAGUCCCAGCUCCUUGGAGGCUGAGAUGGGAGGAUCGCUUGAGCCCAGGAGUUCUGGGCUAUAGUGCGCUAUGCCGAUCUCCACUAAGUUCGGCAUCAAUAUGGUGAUGCCGGGAGUCGGGGACCACCACCAGGUUGCCUAAGGAGUGGUGAACCAGCCCAGGUCGGAAAUGAAGCAGGUCAAAACUCCCGUGCUGAUCAGUAGUGGGAUCAAGCCUGUGAAUAGGCACUGCACUCCAGCCUGGGUAACAUAACGAGACCCCAUCUCU